rnacentral:rRNA from 1 species
GACGAACGCUGGCGGCGUGCUUAACACAUGCAAGUCGAACGGAAAGGCCUCUUUCGGGGGGUACUCGAGUGGCGAACGGGUGAGUAACACGUUAGUAACCUUCCCUUGACUUUGGGAUAACUUCAGGAAACUGGGGCUAAUACCGGAUAGGAGCUCCUGCUGCUUGGUGGGGGUUGGCACGUUUCGGCGGUUGGGGAUGUAGUCGCGGCUUAUCAGCUUGUUGGUUGGGUAGUGGCUUACCAAGGCUUUGACGGGUAGCCGGCCUGAGAGGGUGACCGGACACAGUGGGAAUGAGAUAAGGCCAAGACUCAGACGGGAAGCAGCAGUGGGGAAUAGUGCACAAUGGGAGGAAGCAUGAUGCAGCAACGCCGUGUGCGGGAUGACGACAUUCGGGUUGUAAACCGAUUUAGCUCAUGACGAAGAUUUGUGUGACGGUAGUGGGUAAAGAAGCACCGGCUAACUACGUG